rnacentral:lncRNA from 1 species
UUGCUAGGAGUCUUUUGUUUUUUAAUAUUCAAGGAUUUUUGAGUGAUCCCAAAUCCCUUGCCCCUCACCCGACCAGAAUACUCGGGAACAUCUAAUGCUCGACUCAGUAUGCUCCUGCAAUCAGUGUCUUCAUAUGGAACUAUAGAUUGAGAUAGAGUCUCCUGAAAAUCAUAUGAACAUACACACAAUAGUAAUGUUAUUGUCUUAAGUAAGUGUCAAAGUCAAAGUGUUCGAAAUUGGACGAUUCAAAAGUGUCAAAGUCAAAGUGUUAUUGUCUUAAAUAAUGCUAUACUUACACAUUUCUCAAAUAUUUGUUGAACGUCUUCUUUAAUCUUUCCAUCCUUACCGACACGGGCUUCCUUCCACAAAACAU